rnacentral:rRNA from 1 species
ACAGCAGUAGCCGCGGUAAUACGUAGGUGGCAAGCGUUGUCCGGAACUAUUGGGCGUAAAGGGCUCGCAGGCGGUUUCUUAAGUCUGAUGUGAAAGCCCCCGGCUCAACCGGGGAGGGUCAUUGGAAACUGGGAAACUUGAGUGCAGAAGAGGAGAGUGGAAUUCCACGUGUAGCGGUGAAAUGCGUAGAGAUGUGGAGGAACACCAGUGGCGAAGGCGACUCUCUGGUCUGUAACUGACGCUGAGGAGCGAAAGCGUGGGGAGCGAACAGGAUUAGAUACCCGAGUAGUCCCUGUCUCUUAUAA